rnacentral:piRNA from 1 species
GUUUCUGAGCAAUGCCUGGAGGGGUG